GGGUAGGGCAAUUUAAGUUAAUUUUGGGCCAAUUUCAAGAGAUUGUGACGGGCAACGACUAUAUAGGUGUUGUAGAGGAGACAAUGGCGCAUCGUUUAAGAAAAUCUCCAGAGUGGUUUAUGUUCGAAAAUUUGAAGUUACGGUUAAAAAACUGAAAAUUUUAUGGUGAAAUUGACAAAAUGAGAUUACGGGGGUAGGGCACUAAAAGAAAAAUUUGGACUAUUUUAAAGAGAUUGUGACGGGCAACGACUAUAUAGGUGUUGUAGAGAAGACAUUGGCGCAUCGUUUAGGAAAAUCUCCAGAGUGGUUUAUGUUCGAAAAUCUGAAGUUACGGUUAACAAACUGAAAAUUUUAUUGUGAAAUUGACAAAAUGAGAUUAGGGGGGUAGGGCACUAAAAGAAAAAGUUUGGACUAUUUUAAUGAGAUUGUGACGGGCAACGACUAUAUAGGUGUUGUAGAGGAGACAUUGGCGCAUCGUUUAGGAAAAUCUCCAGAGUGGUUUAUGUUCGAAAAUCUGAAGUUACGGUUAAAAAACUGAAACUUUUAAUGUGAAAUUGACAAAAUGAGAUUAGGGGGGUAGGCCAAUUUAAGUUAAAUUUGGACCAAUUUCAAGAGAUUGUGACGGGCAACGACUAUAUAGGUGUUGUAGAGGAGACAUUGGCGCAUCGUUUAAGAAAAUCUCCAGAGUGGUUAAUGUUCGAAAAUCUGAAGUUACGGUUAAAAAACUGAAAUUGUGAAAUUGACAAAAACGGAAAAAAUUGAUGAAAUUUUCGUUUCCGUUCUCUAACUUCAGUUUGCCUCAACCAAAUGUUAUGAAACUUAGACACAGUGCUUAUUACCACAAAACGUACUCAACUGUAUGUGGAAGUUGACUCAUGCAUAUUUAAAAUCUUGAAAAAUAGACCAACACUCAUCCUUAAUGUUUAAAAUUAAUUAUUUCCCAAUUAAUCAAAGUGACAAUUUAUAUACCUUCAGACAUUUAUUGACAUGUACAAUAUAUUUCAGAUCACUUGAAGUAGUAUUGGCAGUAAUUUUAAAGUGAUCAUUUGAUUAAGCAUUUGA